UUUUGACCGAAGCAAUAUGAACGCUCCAUAUGAGAGUUAUUUCCCCUUAUGCAUUUGAUAUAAGUGAUAUGCAUUUCUAUCUUGUAAACCAUAAGUGAUAGAGACUUAGGAUCUUUUGAUUUGAGGUCCUUGGUGCAAAAAAAUGAAAAUUAGGUCAAGGUCAAAGGUCAAGGUCAUAUUCUAAUUUUUGAAUUUGGCUUAUUUCCACUCAUUUCCAGA
rnacentral:lncRNA from 1 species